AGGCUGAAUGUGGCUGCACAGGAACCAUUUUGAUGCAGUUUUCCUGCACUGGGACAGAGAGCUCUCCACGAGGCUGUCUCAGCCCUCCUCUGCUGAGACAGACUUACUACACAAACUACUGGCUGCACAGGAACCAUUUUGAUGCAGUUUUCCUGCACUGGGACAGAGAGCUCUCCACGAGGCUGUCUCAGCCCUCCUCUGCUGAGACAGACCUACUACACAAACUACACAUAUAUUUUUUUAUAUGGGGUUUGCACCUUCCAGGGUGAGACCCGGAACUCCUCUUUCCAGAAACCACAAAUGACUGUACCACUGUCCAGAAACCAUAAGUGUUAGAAAUUUAUUUCUAUUUUUUUUCCUUCUCUUUUCUCCAGUCCAGAAAAUAAUCUUUUUUGGGUUGUGGGUGGAGAGAAGAUGGUUAAUGAGACAGCUUCAUUAAGAUGAAUAAAAGUUAUCUAAGUAAAGCCAUUCAAUAUUCCCCCAAUUUUGAUCAUUCUGGAAAAUUACUGAAUUAUGUUGGAGAAGUAAAACAAGUAAAGAGGCAUCUCUCCAAAUGUGUAUUUAAGAAUUCAGCGGAGUUGUGUGACCCUGAGUCCCAGAGGUCCUCUAAACAUCUUCCAAUGGGUCUUCCUCUUUUUUUCUAGGGCACCUGACCUCCAGUUGGAGAAGAAGAACACUGCAAAUAACUUUCCAUAUGGAGAGCAUUGCAGCAGUAAAAAUGACUCUGAGCCAGAGUUAGGAAGACUUACAGCCCCAUAUAGCAAUCUGACCUCACAAGACUCUGCAUUUUACUCUGUACCAUGUGGAAGUUGCAUUCAAUAAUGUUUAUGGCCACAUGCUCGUUUGAACGUCUACUGUUUGGGAUAAAGAAAUUUCCUCAGAAAUUAUUUUUACCCAGUCAGGACCCUUCAUCUUGGAUAAAGCUUCAUUCACUCAUGUAUGUGAACUGACUUAGGUUAGUUGAUAAUCAGUUUCAUAGAAGUUCUAGAGAUUCCUGAAAGAGUAUCUCUGUGUGCCAGGGUUUCAGUGGUAAAUAGAAAUUGAAAAUUAAGAAAUCUGAAUGCAGGCAGGUUGCUUAUCUGGGAAUGUAUUGUGUUUAGAUCUAAACGUCAAGUUAUAGCUAUUCUUUUUUCUCCUUCUGAAUUCCUUCCUUUUCUAGCUAUUGAUGGUGGCAAGAGCCUGGUAGGACAUAUUUUUGGAUGCUGCUCUGAAGCCCAGAUUUCAGGAAGACUUUUGAGAUGGGGGCAGAUCAGGUUAAGGGAGCUGGUGUGAAUGAUUCCUUUCAGAAAGGUCAAAACUACGAAUAGGAACAUCACCAAGAACUGAGCCCUCUUUGGGUGGUGGAAACCUGAGCAAUGGUGGGAAUAAUAAUAAUGCCACCUUCAGCAACAAAAACAAUGAAUAUUUACUGAAGAUUUACAUUGUACCAAGUGUUUUUCAUAGAUUUUUAUUUUAGUCACCCUGUAACUUUACUACUCCAAGCUUAUACAAUGAAAAGGCCAAAUCUCAGGUAGAUUUCAUUCAUGGUCACACAGACAGAAGGUGAUGAAACUGAGAUUUGACAUCGGCCAGUUAUAUAGCAUUUGUCUCUACUAUCAUAUAGGUAUGGAGAGUAAGAGCCAGAGAAGUCUUUCAGAUAGUCAGCUACUGCAGCAACAAUACUGUAUAACAAUCAUCCCCAAACUCAUGGCUUAUAACACCCAGCAUUUAUUUUUAUUGCUAAUUGGUCUACAAUUAAGCUGGUAGGCUCAGCUCAGCUCCAGCUUCAAAGUCAGUCAAAUUCAGGUCUACUCCAUGUGUCUCAUUCUGGGUUCCAUUUUGAAAAGUUAGUGCCUUUCUGGGGCUUGCUUUCCUCAUGGUGAUCACAGGAAUUUAAGCUUAUGGACAGAUUCACAUGAUGUCUCUUAAGCCCUUGACCUAAACCUGGUGCACUGUCACUCCCUCACGUACUUUACAUUGGCAAUUGCAAGUUAUAUAGCCAAGCUCCAAUACUGGGGCGGCAGAGAGGGCAAGGAUGCCUGCCAUUGCAGGAGAACCUGGAAAGACAAAUGGCAAAGGAUGCAGAUGUAUAACUCUAAAGCAAGGAGGGCAUGAAUAAUUGAAAACAAGUCUUCUCUAUUACAGGUAGAAUUUCUCAAUUAUAAACCACAUGAGAGCUGAGCCCUAAUCUUUACUUCUUCCACAUUCAAGGUAAAUGAGAGUGAAAAUUCAGAAUUUAGGCCAGUCAAAUAUUUUGUGCUCUUUGAUAAAUCAUAAUGUCUCUUUGUAGACACAAACUUCACAUAAUCAUCAAGAUUUCCUUGGAACACCUAGUUAACUGUGGAAUACUUGCUUUUUUUUUUUUUUUUUUUGAGAGGAAGGCUCACUCUGUGCACUCUGUGGCCCGGGCUGGAGGGGGAAUUUUCUCCUCCUGGGUUCAAGCGAUUCUCCUGCCUCAGCCUCCUGAGUAGCUGGGAUUACAGAUGUGCACACCAUGCCUGGCUAAUUUUUGUAAUUUUAGUAGAGAUGGGGUUUCACCAUAUUGACGAGGAUGGUCUCAAAUCCUGACCUCAAGUGAUCUGCCUGCCUUGGCUUCCCAAAGUGCUGGGAUUACAGGUGUGAGCCACUGUACCCAGCUGAAUGCUUGCACUUUGAUGAGAAUAUCCUUGUUAGGCACACAAAGCCUAAUAAUUCAACCUUUAUUAGUGUCCAGAUACUUUCCCCUUCCCAGAACAACAGUCAUUUUCUGAUUUGCUUGUUUUAAUUUUAUAGCCACUCCCUGUUUGUGUCUCCUUCUUACAUCUGCUGUACUUACAUAUUUAUAUGAAGUGUUGACUACCUUUCAUUCUUUCCUGAGUUAUAAGGCCUAUUUCUAUCAGUUUCCUUCUUCUUGCUUGCCAUUGAUGGAUUCAUUGUUGAUCUUCUAUUUUCUCUCUUCUGGCUAUUUUUGUAGUUUUGUUUACCACUAGUAAUCAAUAAAGACUGCAAUAAAUCCAUUUUUAAAUGAAAUGGACAAAAGAGUGACACCCUCAAAAAAACAGUGAUGGUAAAAUACAUCAAAUACGGAAACAAGUGCUAGACCUGGGGUCUAAAAAAGGGGUGUAAACUCUGCCAUUUUCUUCCUAAUCACAAGCAAACCCCACGGUACAUUUGGACUUUAGCUCUUACUCUGUUAAGCAUGAGGAAAAUAACAUAGAAUUGUACAUUGCAGAAAGACGUAUGUUUAUUAUUGUUCCUAAUAACAAAUAGAAAUGGAAAAUAAACAUUUAUCAGAGGGAAAUGGUUAAAUAAAAAUGAUAUAUCCACAUAAUGGAAAUACAUGUAGUCAUAUAAAUUCUAUAUACAAUAUCAUGGAAAGAUAGACUUGAAAUAAUUGUUAAAUUUUAAAAAUCUUGUUUAUUUUUAAAAAUUUACUUAUAUAUUCAAAAAUUGAAUGUAACCUAGGAACUAGAGCUACAAUAGUGAAAAACAAAAUUGCUUCUCUCAUAGCUUACAUUCUCCUGGCAGAGACAUAAUAAACCAAAUAAAUUUAAACAAUACUAUAAUAUAUUAGGUAAUGAAGCAUGCUAAGAAUAAAUGAGAGUGUGGAAUGGGCUGUGAUACAUUAGUGGACAUUGAAAUUUUAGAUACAUUGUCCAGGGAAGGCUUCCUUGUGAUGGUGACUUGAGAAUUGAGACCUGGAGGAUGCUAACCAUGCUGAUAAUUGGUAGAGGGCAUUCUUAGAGAACCACAAGGGCAAAAGCUCUAAGGUGGGAUUGUGUCUGGUGUUCCAGCAACAGAAAGGGAGCUGUUGGGAUUGUACUUGAGAGAGGGAAGACCAGAAUGCCAUGGAGGCAGAGAAGGAAUGGCAAUGGGAAGGGGAUCACAUCAUGUAGGGUCCUGAAGUUCUUGAUUAGCAUACGCUGGCUUUUAGUUUGAGUGAGAUGCUAAACUCCUUGGGGGUUUUGAGGAAAAGAAGUUGCAGGUUCUGCUUUACAUUAUAACAAGAUCUCUUGGGUUGCUGUUUUCAGAACUGACUGAUGUGGGAAAGGGGAGGAGCUGAACAGCAUUUGAGAGGCUACUCUGAUAAUCCAAAUAAGGUACAAUAAUCAUAAUAGGGUGGUGGCUUGGGAUGGUUUCCAGAUAUGUAUAUAGGGUAGAAUCAACAAGAUUUGCUGAUGGGCCAGUUUGGAUGUGAGAGAAAUUGAGAAUGACUUAAAAGAUUUUUAAUCUGAGCAUGGGAGGGUUUGAGUUCCAGUAAAUGAGAAUCAAGGAUAGCUGCAGGAAGAAGUAUGACAAUUCAUAGUAAAAUAUCUGAAUUAAUAUAUGUCACCUUGAUUACUCUCUUGAUUACACCUCCUGUUACCUCUGGAGGGUAUAAUCGCAAAGAAAUGAAAAUGAGUUUUCAUUAUUUUAUUUUGCCUCCUUCCAUAUCGACAGACUUGCUUAUAAUACAUUUGUUUUUAUUCAUUAUGUUGCAAUGGAAAAAAGAACACUUCUGAUGUUCUUGGGUGAAUCAAUUUCAUACAGGGUCUUCAUGGUUAUAUGAAUGUAUGUCACAGGUAUUCUUAUGAGUAAUUAAAUGAAUAAUGCCAUAAUUUUCAGUCCAUUUCUUGGUUGCAGAAAUCGAGCAAAAUGUGGCUGAUAAAAUAUGUGUAAUAAUUAAUUUUACUGUAUUUGGAAAUGUGAUGUAUUCCU
rnacentral:lncRNA from 1 species